GCGGAUGUGGCGGAACGGUAUACGCGCUAGCUUGAGGUGCUAGUGGGAGCAAUCCCUUGGGAGUUCAAAUCUCCCCAUCCGCA
rnacentral:tRNA from 1 species